CCUACGGGAGGCAGCAGUAGGGAAUCUUCGGCAAUGGACGGAAGUCUGACCGAGCAACGCCGCGUGAGUGAAGAAGGUUUUCGGAUCGUAAAGCUCUGUUGUAAGAGAAGAACGAGUGUGAGAGUGGAAAGUUCACACUGUGACGGUAUCUUACCAGAAAGGGACGGCUAACUACGUGCCAGCAGCCGCGGUAAU
rnacentral:rRNA from 3 species